rnacentral:rRNA from 1 species
AACGUAGGACACAAGCGUUAUCCGGAGUUACUGGGCGUAAAGAGCGCGCAGGCGGUCGUUCAAGUCGAGUGUGAAAGCCCCCGGCUCAACUGGGGAGGGUCACUCGAUACUGAUCGACUUGAAGGCAGGAGAGGGAAGCGGAAUUCCCGGUGUAGUGGUGAAAUGCGUAGAUAUCGGGAGGAACACCAGUGGCGAAGGCGGCUUCCUGGCCUGUUCUUGACGCUGAGGCGCGAAAGCUAGGGGAGCAAACGGG